GACGAACGCUGGCGGCGUGCUUAACACAUGCAAGUCGAACGGAAAGGCCCUGCUUUUGUGGGGUGCUCGAGUGGCGAACGGGUGAGUAGCACGUGAGUAACCUGCCCUUGACUUUGGGAUAACUUCAGGAAACUGGGGCUAAUACCGGAUAGGAGCUCCUGCUGCAUGGUGGGGGUUGGAAAGUUUCGGCGGUUGGGGAUGGACUCGCGGCUUAUCAGCUUGUUGGUGGGGUAGUGGCUUACCAAGGCUUUGACGGGUAGCCGGCCUGAGAGGGUGACCGGCGACAUUGGGACUGAGAUACGGCCCAGACUCCUACGGGAGGCAGCAGUGGGGAAUAUUGCACAAUGGGCGGAAGCCUGAUGCAGCAACGCCGCGUGCGGGAUGACGGCCUUCGGGUUGUAAACCGCUUUCGCCUGUGACGAAGCGUGAGUGACGGUAAUGGGUAAAGAAGCACCGGCUAACUACGUG
rnacentral:rRNA from 1 species